UGUAACGGAAAGUAAAUUCGACGUAGUUUAACAUACUCACUUUUCGACCGAUUUCUUCGCGCUGGAGCUGACCGUGUAAACGUCUAAUGUAACGGUAAUUUAAAUUCGACGUAGUUUAAAAUACUCCCUUUUCGAAGGAUGUGCUUCUAUGUUAUUUUUUCCCCAUUUCGGAACAGGAUUACGUUGGUUAACCGUGAAGCUCUUGAGUCUGACGUGGUGAAAAAAGUUGGUGGGCAGUCGCCAAAAAGACAGACUCUAAGCAACCAGAAGUGGACGCUAAGCAUUGAAUGUCAGAUUGUCUGUGAGGGAGUACAAGUCAGCUUUACAUCUGGACUCUCAGCUCUAUUUACAUCAUAUCACAACUUUAACCUCCGAUAUCAAGAAGCCGCCGCAUGCACCCUUGAGUUUGUGCAAAGGCGCUUCAUCGACAUCAACCCAGAACGGGGAUCCUAAGCCAAGCAGGGAAAAGUGGUAUCCAGAAAGACUGGCAAAGUAGUCCAGAAAAGAACAGUUCUGUGAAUCCUCAUGUUUCCUCACUGCUUCGAAAGUUGAUGGACUUUGAAUGGGAUUUUGUGUGAGGCAAUCCGUUUGAGAGGGCACAGCUCACACCCUGCCCACCGAAAGCCACGCCCCUUACCCACCGAAAGCCACGCCCCUGCUCAGAGGGCUGGGCAGGGAACUCUAAGACUGCUUUAUUACUAUAACUCUGAGUAAUG